GUACACUCCUGCGGGAGGCAGCAGUGGGGAAUAUUGGACAAUGGGCGCAAGCCUGAUCCAGCCAUGCCGCGUGAGUGAUGAAGGCCCUAGGGUUGUAAAGCUCUUUCACCGGAGAAGAUAAUGACGGUAUCCGGAGAAGAAGCCCCGGCUAACUUCGUGCCAGCAGCCGCGGUAAUACGAAGGGGGCUAGCGUUGUUCGGAAUUACUGGGCGUAAAGCGCACGUAGGCGGAUCGAUCAGUCAGGGGUGAAAUCCCAGGGCUCAACCCUGGAACUGCCUUUGAUACUGUCGAUCUGGAGUAUGGAAGAGGUGAGUGGAAUUCCGAGUGUAGAGGUGAAAUUCGUAGAUAUUCGGAGGAACACCAGUGGCGAAGGCGGCUCACUGGUCCAUUACUGACGCUGAGGUGCGAAAGCGUGGGGAGCAAACAGGAUUAGAUACCCCGGUAGUCCCAUGAU
rnacentral:rRNA from 1 species